CAGCCGCCACGGGAAUACGUAGGUGGCAAGCGUUGUCCGGAAUUAUUGGGCGUAAAGGGCUCGCAGGCGGUUUCUUAAGUCUGAUGUGAAAGCCCCCGGCUCAACCGGGGAGGGUCAUUGGAAACUGGGAAACUUGAGUGCAGAAGAGGAGAGUGGAAUUCACGUGUAGCGGUGAAAUGCGUAGAGAUGUGGAGGAACACCAGUGGCGAAGGCGACUCUCUGGUCUGUAACUGACGCUGAGGAGCGAAAGCGUGGGGAGCGAACAGGAUUAGAUACCCGCGUAGUCCCUGUCUCUUAUACA
rnacentral:rRNA from 1 species